AUGUCGAUUAGCUGUUGGGCAGCAUGACUGCUUAGUAGCGAAGCUAACGCGUGAAAUCGACCGCCUGGGGAGUACGGUCGCAAGAUUAAAACUCAAAGGAAUUGACGGGGACCCGCACAAGCGGUGGAUGAUGUGGAUUAAUUCGAUGCAACGCGAAGAACCUUACCUGGUCUUGACAUGUACGGAACCCUCCAGAGACGGAGGGGUGCCUUCGGGAGCCGUAACACAGGUGCUGCAUGGCUGUCGUCAG
rnacentral:rRNA from 1 species